rnacentral:lncRNA from 1 species
GGACUGACGACAUUCUCCCCAAGGCUAAUUCUAAGUUCUGCCAGGCAGAGUUCAAAUCCUCCAUUUCUGUUUGUGAUGAAUGUGUAAAAAUGCAUUGCCGUAACUCUUCCUCUAACUGUCUCUUCACCCUCUGUUUUCCCCCAGCCGUUGACAGAGUAUAUCCUGAAUGAUCUUUUAAAGUCACUGGCACAAUCUGUCUCCCCACUUUCCCUCUCUUGUUCACCGAAUUGGAGCCCAGUUGGGGCCAAUUUUUAUCCCAAUCUGAGCCAGAAGAGUUAAUAGA